AAAACAAUGGUGUUAGGUUUUAGAAUUAAAGCCGCACCUUAUGUUUUCUGACAUGCUUUCUGCAACCAUAAGCCUGACAGUACUUUGGGUUUUCACAGUAUCAAUCAUACCAAAGUUUUCUACAGCACUGUAUCGAGAGAUAUUUUACUUUAGAGGCAUGGAAGUAAAACAUCCAAAGUCUGUGAUAGUUGGAAGACAAAACUAAGUCUAGAACUAAACAGUACUCUGUGCAGCAUGGCCUUGGACAAGGGCUACACACAGUAAGUUGUUACUGUAACUAACAUGACUGCAGUAACUACACUAGCAGUAUUUUCACUUUCCAAUUAACUAAAAUGUCAUGGAACAUAUGGAGUAAUGCUAGGUUUGGGCAUCUCAGUUUAGGAGACAGAACUUAUUCAGCACUUGCUUAUCUCCAGUGUGAAAGUGUCACUAGCAAAAAAAAAUUAUGGAAAAAGAAAGAAGCAUGGAAAAAACAUGAC